rnacentral:rRNA from 1 species
AUACGGAGGAUGCAAGCGUUAUCCGGAUUCAUUGGGUUUAAAGGGUGCGUAGGCGGAUAAGUAAGUCAGUGGUGAAAUCUUCCGGCUCAACCGGGAACCUGCCAUUGAUACUGUUUAUCUUGAGUUCGGCAGAGGUAGGCGGAAUGUGUAAUGUAGCGGUGAAAUGCUUAGAUAUUACACAGAACACCGAUUGCGUAGGCAGCUUACUAUACCGACACUGACGCUGAGGCACGAAAGCGUGGGGAGCGAACAGGAUUAGAUACCCUGGUAGUCCACGCCGUAAACUAUGAUUACUCGUUGUUGGCAAUACACAGUCAGCGACCAAGCGAAAGCGAUAAGUAAUCCACCUGGGGAGUACGCUCGCAAGAGUGAA